UACGAAGGGGGCUAGCGUUGUUCGGAAUUACUGGGCGUAAAGCGCGCGCAGGCGGUCUUCCAAGUCAGUGGUGAAAGCCCGGAGCUCAACUCCAGAACUGCCUUCGAUACUGGAAAGCUCGAGUCCGGGAGAGGUGAGUGGAACUGCGAGUGUAGGAGGAUGAAAUUCGUAGAUAUUCGCAAGAACACCAGUGGCGAAGGCGGCUCACUGGCCCGGUACUGACGCUGAGGUGCGAAAGCGUGGGGAGCAAACAGG
rnacentral:rRNA from 1 species